CAGCUUCAACUGCUUCCUGCCUUCCUGCUGCUGGUCGACUAAUCAGCCAUAGGCAUCUUAAGCUGGACUGGAAAAUGCCACCAGGAGAUGGUUUCACAGACUUCUGCAGGAGGAGGUCGCUGUUGUGGGCGGAGGCGGGCAGGGAGGAGAGGCCGAGG